CGCGGGGUGGAGCAGCCCGGUAGCUCGUCAGGCUCAUAACCUGAAGGUCAUAGGUUCAAAUCCUGUCCCCGCAACCA
rnacentral:tRNA from 3 species